rnacentral:rRNA from 1 species
AUUGAACGCUGGCGGCAGGCCUAACACAUGCAAGUCGAACGAGUGGCGGACGGGUGAGUAAUGUCUGGGAAACUGACCGAUGGAGGGGGGUAACUACUGGAAACGGUCGCUAAUACCGCAUACCAUCGGAUGUGCCCAGUUGGGAUUAGCUAGUAGGUGGGGUAACGGCUCACCUAGGCGACGAUCCCUAGCUGGUCUGAGAGGAUGACCAGCCAAUGUGGAACGUGAACACGGUCCAGACACCGACGGGAGGCAGCUGUGGGGAAUAUGGCACUAUGGGCGCAAGCCUGAUGCAGCAGUGCCGCGUGUAUGAAGAAGUCCUUCGGGUGGUAAAGGACUGUCAGCGAGGAGGCGUUACUCGCAGAAGAAGCACCGGCUAACUCCGGGCCAGCAGCCGCGGUAAUAC